rnacentral:rRNA from 1 species
AGGGUGAUCGGCCACACUGGGACUGAGACACGGCCCAGACUCCUACGGGAGGCAGCAGUAGGGAAUCUUCCGCAAUGGACGAAAGUCUGACGGAGCAACGCCGCGUGAGUGAUGAAGGUUUUCGGAUCGUAAAGCUCUGUUGUUAGGGAAGAACAAGUACCGUUCGAAUAGGGCGGUACCUUUUACGGAACCUAACCAGAAAGCCACGGCUAACUACGCGCCUUUUUUCUUUCGGUAAUACGUAGGUGGCAAGCGUUGUCCGGAAUUAUUGGGCGUAAAGGGCUCGCAGGCGGUUUCUUAAGUCUGAUGUGAAAGCCCCCGGCUCAACCGGGGAGGGUCAUUGGAAACUGGGGAACUUGAGUGCAGAAGAGGAGAGUGGAAUUCCACGUGUAGCGGUGAAAUGCGUAGAGAUGUGGAGGAACACCAGUGGCGAAGGCGACUCUCUGGUCUGUAACUGACGCUGAGGAGCGAAAGCGUGGGGAGCGAACAGGAUUAGAUACCCUGGUAGUCCACGCCGUAAACGAUGAGUGCUAAGUGUUAGGGGGUUUCCGCCCCUUAGUGCUGCAGCUAACGCAUUAAGCACUCCGCCUGGGGAG